rnacentral:rRNA from 1 species
GACGAACGCUGGCGGCGUGCUUAACACAUGCAAGUCGAACGGAAAGGCCCUGCUUUUGUGUGGUGCUCGAGUGGCGAACGGGUGAGUAACACGUGAAUAACCUGCCCUUGACUUUAGGAUAACUUCAGGCAACCGGUGCUAAUACCGGCUACGAGCUCCUGCUGCAUGGUGGGGUUUGGACAGUUUCGGCGGUUGGGGAUGGACUCGCGGCUUAUGAGCUUGUUGGUGGGGUAGUGGCUUACCAAGGCUUUGAUGGGUAGUCCGCCUGAGAGGGGGAACGGCCACAUUGGGACUGAGGUACGGCCCAGAGUCCUACGUGAGGCAGCAGUGGGGAAUAUUGCACAAUGGGCGGAAGCGUGAUGCAGAAACGUCGCGUGCGGGAUGAAGGCCUUCGGGUUGGAAACCGCAGUCGCCUGAGACGAAGCGGGAUUGACGGUAAUGAGUAAAGAAGCACCGGCUAACUACGUG